GGGCUCUCUUCCGCGCACAUAUACCAAAAGUGGAAUACUACAGAGAAGAUUAGCCUGGCCCCUGUGAAAGGAUGACGCGCAAAUUCAUGAAGCUUUCCGUGUAAUU